GGGCCGCGGUAUACUGACCGUGCGAAGGUAGCAUAAUCAUUAGUUCUUUAAUUGAGGACUGGAAUGAAAGGUUGGACGAGAAGUUAACUGUCUCUAAAAUAAAUCUUGAAGUUUACUUUUAAGUGAAAAGGCUUAAAUAAAAUAAAGGGACGAUAAGACCCUAUAAAACUUUACAGGUCAUUUGAAAAUUACUCAAUUAAGGUGUAAAUGUGUUUUUAAUGUUACUGUUUUGUUGGGGCGAUAGAGAUAUAAUUAAUUAACUGUUUUUUGUAUUAAAAUAAUACUAAUUAGAAAAAGUGAUCCUUUAAUAAGGAUUAAAAGAUUAAGUUACUUUAGGGAUAACAGCGUAAUUUCUCUUGAGAGUUCCAAUCGACAGAGUUAGUUGCGACCUCGAUGUUGAAUUAAGAUGUUAGUUAGGCGCAGAAGCUUAAGUAGUAGGUCUGUUCGACCUUUAAAAUCUU
rnacentral:rRNA from 1 species